rnacentral:misc_RNA from 1 species
AAAGUCGUAACAAGGUUUCCGUAGGUGAACCUGCGGAAGGAUCAUUAAAGAUUCGGCCCUCGGGCUACUCUUUUCUUUGGCUGUGCGCCUUCGGGCUUGCACGCCAUUGAUAAAUCACACACACCCGUGCACCCACAUUUGGUUGUGACGUCGUCCUCGCGGGCGACGCCGCUUCCAAAUCACAUUUAACCACAAGUCCAGAAUGUAACAAACCAUAAAAGUAACAACUUUCAACAACGGAUCUCUUGGCUCUC